rnacentral:rRNA from 1 species
GCCUACGAUCAUACUACGUUGAAAGCACCGCAUCCCGUCAGAUCUGCGAAGUUAAGCGACGUUAGGCCGGGUUAGUACUAUGGUUGGAGACAACAUGGGAACGCUCGGUGUCGUAGGCU